rnacentral:rRNA from 1 species
GACGAACGCUGGCGGCGUGCUUAACACAUGCAAGUCGUACGGUAAGGCCCUUUCGGGGUUACACGAGUGGCAAACGGGUGAGUAACACGUGAGUAACCUGCCCACAACUUUGGGAUAACGCUAGGAAACUGGUGCAAAUACGGAAUAUGUGCUCCUGCUGCAGGGUGGGGGUUGAAAAGCUCCGGCGGUUGUGGAUGGACUCGCGGCCUAUCAGCUUGUUGGUGGGGUAGUGGCCUACCAAGGCGGCGACGGGUGGCCGGCCUGAGAGGGUGACCGGCCACAUUGGGACUGAGAUACGGCCCAGACUCCUACGGGAGGCAGCAGUGGGGAAUAUUGCACAAUGGGCGCAAGCCUGAUGCAGCAACGCCGCGUGCGGGAUGACGGCCUUCGGGUUGUAAACCGCUUUCAGCAGGGACGAAGCUUUUUGUGACGGUACCUGCAGAAGAAGCACCGGCGAACUACG